rnacentral:rRNA from 1 species
AUUGAACGCUGGCGGCAGGCAUAACACAUGCAAGUCGAGCGGAGCGGCGGACGGGUGAGUAAUGCUUAGGAAUCUGCAUGGUAGUGGUGGAUAACGACCGGAAACGGGCGCUAAUACCGCAUACUAUCACAUGAGCCUAGGUCGGUUUAGCUAGUUGGUGGGGGAAAGGCCUACCAUGGCGACGAGCCGUACCUGGUCUGAGUGGAGGAUCAGUCACACUGGAACGUAGACACGGUCCAGACUCCUACGGGAGGCAGCAGUGGGGAAUAUUGGACAAUGGGCGAAAGCCUGAUACAGCCAUGCCGCGUGUGUGAAGAAGGUCUUCGGAUUGUAAAGCACGUUAAGUUGGGAGGCGUUACCAGCAGAAUAAGCACCGGCUAACUUCGUGCCAGCAGCCGCGGUAAUUC